rnacentral:rRNA from 1 species
UACGUAGGGGGCAAGCGUUGUCCGGAAUCAUUGGGCGUAAAGAGCGUGUAGGCGGUCCGGUAAGUCCGCUGUAAAAGUCAAGGGCUCAACCCUUGAAAGCCGGUGGAUACUGCCGGGCUAGAGUCCGGAAGAGGCGAGUGGAACUCCUGGUGUAGCGGUGAAAAUGCGCAGAUAUCAGGAAGAACACCUACGGCGAAGGCAGCUCGCUGGGACGGUACUGACGCUGAGACGCGAAAGCGUGGGGAGCAAACAGG